rnacentral:lncRNA from 1 species
CCGUUAACACGUGCGGAAGUACGGGUCCAGAGGAUUCAACAAAAGGAGGGAGAGAGGACGGAGCCCGAAGCAUUUCUUAUGUGUCCAGCUUUCUCACCCCACUAUCUGAAGGAGGUGCUGUCACUCAGCUUUACAGAGAGGAGGCUGAGGCUCUCGUGACCUCCCUGACCCCGUCACUCAGCCCAGAUGAGGGGCACAGUCACUUGUCGUGAGAAUAGCCACCACCGUUGGGUGUCCUCUCUGUCUGGGUCCUGUGUGAAGUGCUUUCCCUGCACUGUCUCAUUGAGUCUUGACAGCAUCCCUACAAGGUCGAUCCUGUUAGUGUCAUCCCCACCUCACGGGGCAGAGAGGGCCUUGAGAGGUUCAGUCACUCGUGCAAGCUCAUAUAGGCAGUCAGUGGCAGAGCCGGGAUUCCGGUUGCAGAGCCUGUGUUCUUAUGCGGGAGCGCUGACAAGACCUGCCUUUCCCAGCGCACGGCUGCACGUGCGUGCAUGAGGAAAGCAGGUGAAUCCUGUACAUCUGUGUGUUAUUUACCGCUUCCAAAGCACUUUUGCAUAGUCAUCUCAUUACAUCUUCAUGCCAGCAUCCACAAGGGAGGGAGAUGAGGCAUCAUGACCCCCAUUUUGCAGAUCGGAUAGCUGAGGCUUAGAGAAGUGAAACAUCCAGCGCAGGUCCCAGGAGUCAUGGACUGUGAGUCCAGGGCUGACCCAGUCGCUCUUCCUCUCCUCCAAGGCCAGGCUUCAUCCACUGUGCAGUCUGCCGCUGCAGCAUGGGGAGUGUGCCCUCGGUAAAUGGACACAACCAGGACUCUCAGGGGAAGAUUUGAGAGCAAACGCCCAGGCCAGUGGGAAAUGAGAAGCAGGACUGACCACAAUUAGCAAGAGCAGUGGGUCCGUAUCUGCUAAUUCAUUUUGUGUGGCAACUUUAUAGAAUAUAACGACCAGAAAUAACAGGAAUCGACUGUGCUUCUAAAGUUUCUUCCGCAUGCGCAGUCCCCUGCUUGUUGCUGUUGGAGGCAGAAGGACAAAUGCAGUCCUUUUCUCCUAGGACGCGUCAUCACCGUCGCGAGGAGAGAAGCCUGAAGAUUGGGACUUUCUGGGCCAGCCCCACAGCCAGCACCAAACUGGCAUCAUGCUUCUCAGCAGAAUCUCUAGGGCACUGAUGUCUGAAGAAAAAGAACAAGGCCACAGAUGUCAUUUUAAAUUUUCUAGUAGCCACAAUGAUAAAAAGUAAAGAGAAACAAGCAAAAUUUAUUUUAAUAAUAUAUUUUAUUUAACCCAG